rnacentral:rRNA from 1 species
AGGACACGCUGGCGGCGUGCUUAACACAUGCAAGUCGAACGGAAAGGCCCUGCUUUUGUGGGGUGCUCGAGUGGCGAACGGGUGAGUAACACGUGAGUAACCUGCCCUUGACUUUGGGAUAACUUCAGGAAACUGGGGCUAAUACCGGAUAGGAGCUCCUGCUGCAUGGUGGGGGUUGGAAAGUUUCGGCGGUUGGGGAUGGACUCGCGGCUUAUCAGCUUGUUGGUGGGGUAGUGGCUUACCAAGGCUUUGACGGGUAGCCGGCCUGAGAGGGUGACCGGCCACAUUGGGACUGAGAUACGGCCCAGACUCCUACGGGAGGCAGCAGUGGGGAAUAUUGCACAAUGGGCGGAAGCCUGAUGCAGCAACGCCGCGUGCGGGAUGACGGCCUUCGGGUUGUAAACCGCUUUCGCCUGUGACGAAGCGUGUGUGACGGUAAUGGGUAAAGAAGCACCGGCUAACUACGUG